UGGGCGUAAGAGCUUGUAGGCGGUUUGUCGCGUCUGCUGUGAAAAUUCAGGGCUUAACCCUGGACGUGCAGUGGGUACGGGCAGACUAGAGUAUGGUAGGGGAGACUGGAAUUCCUGGUGUAGCGGUGGAAUGCGCAGAUAUCAGGAGGAACACCGAUGGCGAAGGCAGGUCUCUGGGCCAUUACUGACGCUGAGAAGCGAAAGCAUGGGGAGCGAACAGGAUUAGAUACCCUGGUAGUCCAUGCCGUAAACGUUGGGCGCUAGGCGUGGGUCUCAUUCCACGAGAUCCGUGUCGCAGCUAACGCAUUAAGCGCCCCGCCUGGGGAGUACGGCCGCAAGGCUAAAACUCAAAGGAAUUGACGGGGGCCCGCACAAGCGGCGGAGCAUGCUGAUUAAUUCGAUGCAACGCGAAGAACCUUACCAAGGCUUGACAUGCACCGGAUCGCCUCAGAGAUGGGGUUUCCCUUUGGGCUGGUGCACAGGUGGUGCAUGGUUGUCGUCAGCUCGUGUCGUGAGAUGUUGGGUUAAGUCCCGCAACGAGCGCAACCCUCGUUCUAUGUUGCCAGCACGUAAUGGUGGGGACUCAUAGGAGACUGCCGGGGUCAACUCGGAGGAAGGUGGGGAUGACGUCAAAUCAUCAUGCCCCUUAUGUCUUGGGCUUCAAGCAUGCUACAAUGGCCGGUACAGAGGGUUGCGAAACCGUGAGGUGGAGCGAAUCCCAAAAAACCGGUCUCAGUUCGGAUUGGGGUCUGCAACUCGACCCCAUGAAGUCGGAGUCGCUAGUAAUCGCAGAUCAGCAACGCUGCGGUGAAUACGUUCCCGGGCCUUGUACACACCGCCCGUCAAGUCACGAAAGUCGGUAACACCCGAAGACGGUGGCCUAACCCUUGUGGAAGGA
rnacentral:rRNA from 1 species